rnacentral:rRNA from 1 species
CAGUAGCCGCGGUAAUACGUAGGGUGCAAGCGUUAAUCGGAAUUACUGGGCGUAAAGCGUGCGCAGGCGGUUCGCUAAGACAGGUGUGAAAUCCCCGGGCUUAACCUGGGAACUGCAUUUGUGACUGGCGGGCUAGAGUAUGGCAGAGGGGGGUAGAAUUCCACGUGUAGCAGUGAAAUGCGUAGAGAUGUGGAGGAAUACUGAUGGCGAAGGCAGCCCCCUGGGCCAAUACUGACGCUCAUGCACGAAAGCGUGGGGAGCAAACAGGAUUAGAUACCCCCGUAGUCCCUGUCUCUUAUAC